AGCUCCAAUAGCGUAUAUUAAAGUUGUUGCAGUUAAAAAGCUCGUAGUUGGAUUUCUGGCACGGCGCGCCUGGUCCGCCCCGUUUAGGUGUGUGAGUACCGGCGCGCGCCUGUCAUCCUGCCGGGUGCGCGCGCCCUGCCCUUCGUUGGGUUGGGGCCGCCGCCCGGCUCGUUUACUUUGAAAAAAUUAGAGUGUUUCAAGCAGGCAGCUUCGCCGUGAAUACAUUAGCAUGGAAUAAUAAGAUAGGACUUUGGCCCUAUUUUGUUGGUUUCUAGGACUGAAGUAAUGAUUGAUAGGGUCAGUUGGGGGUGCUCGUAUUCCGCGGCCAGAGGUGAAAUUCUUGGAUUCCCGGAAGACGAACUAAAGCGAAAGCAUUCACCAAGUAUGUGCCCUUUAAUCA
rnacentral:rRNA from 1 species